CCUUUUGGGUCCUUUCAGUUUUGCACAUGGAAGAAGAAGGUCGUUUGCAAAUAGAUGCGAGGGUUGAUUUUGCUUCUUAUCGAAGGAAUCCUCGAUUGUUUAUACUUGCUGAUGUUUAAUAUAUGGACUUAAUUAUUCUAUGCGCAUUUAGAUAUUGUGAGAGAAUACUUAAAUAGUAUUUUGAGAUUUUUGUUGAGUGAUUUAAAUCUGUAAGUUAUGCAGUUUAUAUAGCAGGGAGGUAGGCUUGUAUUAUUUGCUUAUUUUUAAUAUAGUUGUAUUUAUUGUACGGAUAUAUCUGUGUAAUUACCGAAGGAUUUAAACAUUAAAUUGAUUAAUAGCUUUUCUAUUAUACUUUGCAGUUAUCAUAAUGACUAUUUGUUUUGUGACCUGCUACAAUUUAAUCCUGGAGUGUUGAGGUGUUUGUUUGUGUGUUACUGGAAGGUGUACACUUAAACGAGAGGUAAAAGAGCAGGUCGAUAUCCGAAGACAACGUCAAAAACCCAAGAAGUUCCGCAACACAGUCCAGAUGGUACAGCCACACCGCAACGCUACCCAGCCGUUUCAGCCCCGCAACCGGUUAAUCUGAACCCGCAACAACUUUUGGUUGUGGUGAGCCUUGUUGCAGAAUACCAUUGUUCCGUGUUUGCGCAGCGAAGGGGCAUUUUGGCUGAUGAUUCACUGCACUGUCAGACAGUGUUGAAUAAAAUGAAUCACUAGUAGCUACCAAUCAAUAUCGUUCUAGGUACUCGUCACUUGGACCUCGUGGAAUCUUCAGAUAGCCAAAACCGGCAUCUCAAAGAGGGUCACUCAAACCUCCAUUCCCUCACCAAAACCCUUAUUGACUUAGCAGUAUUACAAGUCUAUCUUUCUUUAUAUCCAAAUAAAUAAGUGGCAGCUGAAUUUUUAGAGGGUUCUAACAAAGGCUGGUCCGGUACAAGAGGAAAUCCGAAAGGCUGUUUUAUUACUUGGAUAAUUAUGUUUGUUUGGCUCGCUCUAAUUCAGGGAAUGUGUGACCAAUUUGUUCUGUUUUAUAGAUAAAUGCCUUAACAUACACGUAGCAAAAAAAAAAAAAAUUGCAAGUUGAUCUUUUAAUUUCUGUAACAGAGCCAUUCUCUUUCUAGACUAUUUAGUAGUGGUUUCUAUGCGAUCGUGUCAGCUUUACUUGCAUGCACAGACGACUUGCACCUUACUGCACUUUUAGCCCAUCUUUUAAUCAAGAAUGUAGCUCGUCAUACAACAUGUCUGUAUAUCUCGGACAUUUCUACUAUUGUAAAAUAAAUAGUCUUGAAUAUCUUACUUAAAGAUUUAUGUUACGUUGAAUGCUUAUCAGUUUUGAUAGGUUGCAUCGGACAAUUGACAUCAGGCAACCUAUAACGCUUGAUUUACUUCGUAAACUUAUACAGGUGACAAAUACUGUUUGCUCUUCUAUAUUUUAGGCAUUACAGUUUUCAGCAGUAAUUUCCCUGACCAUUUUGAUUUUUAAGGAUAUGUGAGCUUGUACACACGAACUCAAACUCCUCGAAUAUAAGUGCUAAAGGUCACGCAUUAUGUGAGGGAGACGUUAGUAUUGUAAGUAUUGGUGUACUUCGCAUA
rnacentral:lncRNA from 1 species